GUGAACGCUGGCGGUAGGCCUAACACAUGCAAGUCGAACGGCAGCACAGUAAGAGCUUGCUCUUACGGGUGGCGAGUGGCGGACGGGUGAGGAAUACAUCGGAAUCUACUUUUUCGUGGGGGAUAACGUAGGGAAACUUACGCUAAUACCGCAUACGACCUACGGGUGAAAGCAGGGGAUCUUCGGACCUUGCGCGAUUGAAUGAGCCGAUGUCGGAUUAGCUAGUUGGCGGGGUAAAGGCCCACCAAGGCGACGAUCCGUAGCUGGUCUGAGAGGAUGAUCAGCCACACUGGAACUGAGACACGGUCCAGACUCCUACGGGAGGCAGAAGUGGGGAAUAUUGGACAAUGGGCGCAAGCCUGAUCCAGCCAUACCGCGUGGGUGAAGAAGGCCUUCGGGUUGUAAAGCCCUUUUGUUGGGAAAGAAAAGCAGCAGGUUAAUACCCCGCUGUUCUGACGGUACCCAAAGAAUAAGCACCGGCUAACUUCGUG
rnacentral:rRNA from 1 species